CAGGAUGAACGCUAGCGACAGGCCUAACACAUGCAAGUCAGGGGCAGCACAAGGAGCAAUCUGAGGUGGCGACCGGCGCACGGGUGAGUAACACGUAUGCAACCUGCCUGUAAGCGGGGAAUAACCCGCUGAAAGACGGACUAAUACCGCAUAAUACUAAAUUACUGCAUGGUAAUUUAUUUAAACAUUUAUGGCUUACAGAUGGGCAUGCGCAUGAUUAGCUAGUUGGAGAGGUAACGGCUCCCCAAGGCAACGAUCAUUAGGGGUUCUGAGAGGAAGGUCCCCCACACUGGUACUGAGACACGGACCAGACUCCUACGGGAGGCAGCAGUGAGGAAUAUUGGUCAAUGGACGAGAGUCUGAACCAGCCAAGUCGCGUGCAGGAAGAAUGUUCCCUAUGGAUUGUAAACUGCUUUUGCAGGGGAAUAAAGUGCAUCACGUGUGAUGUUUUGUAUGUACUCUGCGAAUAAGGAUCGGCUAACUCCGUGCCAGCCGCGGC
rnacentral:rRNA from 1 species